GAAAUGCGAUAAGUAAUGUGAAUUGCAGAAUUCAGUGAAUCAUCGAAUCUUUGAACGCACAUUGCGCUCUUUGGUAUUCCGGAGAGCAUGCUUCUUUGAGAAUCAGUAAAUUCAUCAACCCCAGUUUCUUGGAAUUUUGUUCUGAGUAAUUGACGGUUGGAUAUGGGCCAUUUGCAACCUCACAGUAGCAAUAGCCUGAAAUUGAAUGUCACGCUCCUUUGGACUGAAAGGUCUUGGGCAAACGCAUGAAUGAGGCAACUCAGCAGUACGUAAGCCUUCGAGACUGAUCAUUUCAAAUAUUGUGUGACUCAACUGAUUACCCAGGACUUGUCAACGUCAGUUGACUUUUCUUGAACUCUUGGUCUCAAAUGAAGUAGGAAAACCCGCUGAACUUAA
rnacentral:misc_RNA from 1 species